rnacentral:rRNA from 1 species
UACGUAGGGGGUAAGCGUUGUCCGGAUUUACUGGGCGUAAAGCGCCUGUAGGCGGCCUGUCAAGUCCGGCCUGAAAGCCCCCCGCUCAACGGGGGAGGGUGGCUGGAAACUGGCAGGCUUGAGGGCGAGAGAGGAGGGUGGAAUUCCAGGUGUAGCGGUGAAAUGCGUAGAUAUCUGGAGGAAUACCGGUGGCGAAGGCGGCAUCCUGGACCGACAUUGACGCUGAUGAGCGAAAGCUAGGGGAGCAAACGGG